GCCCGCGUGCUUGCCAUGUCCUGUCCACCACCACUGCAGGCCACCUUGGGUGUCCCGGCCUGGCCCGUUAUGGUUCUGGGCACCAUGGAGAUGGGGCGCUGCAUGGAUAUGUCUGCUAGCGCCGCAGCAGUGCACACCUUCCUGGAGUGCAGCCACACUGAGCCAGACAUGGCCUUCAUGUACAGUCUGAGACCAUCCUGGGUGGCCUGGGGCUGGGACUGGGCAGCAAUGACUGCAGAGUGAAAUUUGUCACCAAGGCCAACCCUUGGGAUAGAAAAUCACUAAAGCCUGACAGUAUACGGUCCCAACUGGAAACGUCAUUGAAGAAGCUGCAGUGUCUCCGAGUGAACCUCUUCUACCUACAUGCACCUGACCACGGCAUCACAACGGAAGAGACCCUGUGUGCCUGCCACCAGCUGCACCAGAAGAGAAAGUUCGUUGAGCUUGGCCUCUCCAACUAUGCCACCUGGGAAGUGGUCAAGAUCUGUACCCUCUGCAAGAGCAGUGGCUAGAUCCUGCUCACUGUGUACCAGGGUUGUACAAUGCCACCACCCGGCAGGUGGAAACGGAGCUCUUCCCCUGCCUCAGGCACUUUGGACUGAGGUUUUACACCUACAAGCCUCUGGCUGGGAGCCUGCUGACCAGCAAGUACCAGUAUGAGAACAAGGACAGGAAACAGCCCGUGGGUCGCUUCUUUGUGAAUAGCUGGGCUGAGACCUACAGGAAUCGCUUCUGGAAGGAGCAUCACUUAGAGGCCACUGCCCUGGUAGAGAAGGCCAUGCAGGCUGCAUAUGGUGCCAGUGCCCCCAGCAUGACCUCAGACACCCUCCAGUGGAUGUACCACCAUUCACAGCUGCAGGGUGCCCACAGGGACAUGGUCAUCCUGGGCACAUCCAGCCUGGAGCAGCUGGAGUAGAACUUGGCAGUGGCAGAGGAAGGGCCCGUGGAGGCAGCUGUUGUGGAGACCUUUAAUCAAGCCUGGGAUUUGUUUCCCCAUGAAUGUCCCAACUACUUCCACUAGGCCCAUCGUGGCUCAGGCUGCCCAAGGCUUUUCUGUCACCUCUUUUGUUCUCUCAUGCUGACCAGUCUUGGCCUUAAGCUGACUUAGCAGGGUCUUUCUGCAUCGUCUGGAUCCAUAUGUUAUUUUUCUAGCUUCUUGCCUUGCUCCCUGUUCACUUUACACUGUGAAAGGUGGGGAUGGGUCCCACUUGGGCAUUUCCUGUUGAAUAAAGCAGGCAUUUGACCUGGUCACAGCCCAGGUCUUGAGUGAACCACC